rnacentral:misc_RNA from 1 species
AACCAUAGAAACCUGCGGAGUACCUGCGGAAGGAUCAUUACACAAUACAAUAUGAAGGCUGUCCGCAGCUGGAGUAUUUUAUUACCCUUGUCUUUUGCGCACUUGUUGUUUCCUGGGCGGGUUCGCUCGCCACCAGGACCACCAAAUAAACCUUUUUAUGCAGUUGCAAUCAGCGUCAGUACAAACAAUGUAAAUCAUUUACAACUUUCAACAACGGAUCU